rnacentral:rRNA from 1 species
AGAUUGAACGCUGGCGGCAGGCCUAACACAUGCAAGUCGAGCGGUAGAGAGGUGCUUGCACCUCUUGAGAGCGGCGGACGGGUGAGUAAUGCCUAGGAAUCUGCCUAGUGGUGGGGGAUAACGUUCGGAAACGGACGCUAAUACCGCAUACGUCCUACGGGAGAAAGCGGGGGACCUUCGGGCCUCGCGCCAUUAGAUGAGCCUAGGUCGGAUUAGCUAGUUGGUGAGGUAAUGCUCACCGAAGCGACGAUCCGUAACUGGUCUGAGAGGUAUGGAUCGAGUCACACUGGAACUGAGACACGGUCCAGACCGUCCGUACGGGAGCAGCAGGUGGGAAUAGUUGGACUAAGUGGGACGAAAGCCUAGACGUACCGA